UACGUAGGGGGCAAGCGUUGUCCGGAAUCAUUGGGCGUAAAGAGCGUGUAGGCGGCCCGGUAAGUCCGCUGUGAAAGUCCAGGGCUCAACCCUGGGAUGCCGGUGGAUACUGUCGGGCUCGAGUCCGGAAGAGGAGUGUGGAAUUCCGGGUGUAGCGGUGAAAUGCGUAGAUAUCCGGAGGAACACCGGUGGCGAAGGCGGCUUCCUGGACCGACACUGACGCUGAGGCGCGAAAGCUAGGGGAGCAAACGGG
rnacentral:rRNA from 1 species